rnacentral:ncRNA from 1 species
CAAAGGCUUGGUCCUGACUUUACUAUCAACUCUAGCUAAACUUACACAUGCAAGUAUCCGCACCCCCGUGAGAAUGCCCUAACAGUCCCCUGCCUCGAGGACAAGGAGCCGGUAUCAGGCACAUUACCAUAUAGCCCACGACGCCUUGCUUAGCCACACCCUCAAGGGAAUUCAGCAGUGAUAGACAUUAAGCCAUAAGUGAAAACUUGACUUAGUUAAAGCUAAGAGAGCCGGUAAAACUCGUGCCAGCCACCGCGGUUAUACGAGAGGCUCAAGUUGAUAGAUCACGGCGUAAAGCGUGGUUAAGGAAGACUCCCAAACUAAAGUCGAAUGCCCUCAGAACUGUUAUACGUUCCCGACGGUUGGAAGCCCAAUAACGAAAGUAGCUUUAAAACACCUGAACCCACGAAAGCUAGGGCACAAACUGGGAUUAGAUACCCCACUAUGCCUAGCCCUAAACAUUAAUAGUAUUAUACACCAACUAUUCGCCCGGGUACUACGAGCAUUAGCUUAAAACCCAAAGGACUUGGCGGUGCUUUAGAUCCACCUAGAGGAGCCUGUUCUAGAACCGAUAACCCCCGUUCAACCUCACCCUUCCUUGCUCUUACCGCCUAUAUACCGCCGUCGUAAGCUUACCCUAUGAAGGACUUACAGUAAGCGAAAUUGGCACAGCCCAGAACGUCAGGUCGACGUGUAGUGUAUGGAAGGGGAAGAAAUGGGCUACAUUCCCUAAUACAGUGAAUACGAAAGACGCACUGAAACGUGCGCCAUGAAGGAGGAUUUAGCAGUAAGCAGGAAAUAGAGUGUCCCGCUGAAAUUGGCCCUGAAGCGCGCACACACCGCCCGUCAUUCUCCCCGAGCUUAAAAUAUUUACUUAACUAAAACCCGAAACUUGCUAAGGGGAGGCAAGUCGUAACAUGGUAAGUGUACCGGAAGGUGCACUUGGAACAAC